GCCUCGGUGGCUCCCAGGCGAGAGCGCCGGCCUACGGAUCCCCAGGUGGCGGGUUCGAGUCCCGUCCGAGGUG
rfam:Ixodes scapularis strain Wikel colony gcontig_1108378760570, whole genome shotgun sequence.